GUUUCCGUAGGUGAACCUGCGGAAGGAUCAUUCAUAAUAAGUGUUUUAUGGCACUUUUUUAAAUCCAUAUCCACCUUGUGUGCAAUGUCAGGGUUGAUUUUUCUUUCGAGAGGAUCAGCCCCAAACAUCAACUAUAUCUCAACUCUUUGUCUGAAAAAUAUUAUGAAUAAAACAAUUCAAAAUACAACUUUCAACAACGGAUCUCUUGGCUCUC
rnacentral:misc_RNA from 1 species